UGAUAUAAGGAAGUUUUUUGCAAAGUGAUGUGAAUGCAAAUGGAUCACUAUCCCAGGCUAUCCCAGAGCCUUAGGCCCUGAAACCACAAUCUUCUGGAUGCCAGAAGGUGACCUGUGGUCGUAGCUGUGACAACAGGGCCAGCUUCAUAAGUGCAGUUUCACAGAGUGCCGUACUGAGAAGGACCCCACACUUGGUUUAAAAUUCUGUCUUCACCAUCUUGAAAUUCUUAAAUUUUAAACAAAGGACCUAUCAUUUUCAUUUUGUACUGGGACCUGAAAAUUAUGUAGCUGAUUCUGUGUGCCAGGGGAGAAGUUGGAGGACCAGAAAGCAUUAUGACAGGAUGAGAGAACACAUGAUUUUGGUAGAAAUGGGAUUAAAUUUCAGCUUUGCCACAGCAUGUUUCAUGAUGUUGGACCUUUCCUUUCAUCCUUCAUUGGUUCAACUUUUUAAUUUUGACAACAGGGAUUUUCAUUAGAUAAUGUGGCAGCUGUGACAUUCUAGGAUUCCCUCAGCUACUCUAGGGAAAUAGAGUCUAAGGAUAGUGGCUUUCUGCUUUGCCUGUUCUGCAGCAUGGGAAGCCAGUGACUUGAAGGCUGGCUGGGAGUGGGUGGGGGCACAGAAGUGGGGACUAUUGCUGCAUUAGCAGCCCCUUUCACAACAGUCCUGUUUUGUCAUUUUGCACCCAGAUUUCCGUUGCCUAACCUCAACCUUAUCUUCCUCAUUUCUCUUUCCUCUUCAAGACAUCAAGGGCCCUUCAAAACACAUGACCUUCCUGCUCACAACAUAAAGCCCAGCUCUCUCUGGCUGCUAGAGUUUGGCUUGGAACCAGGGAACCUGAGUCCCCUGAAGACCAAGGCAACACUCCAAUUAAAGGUAUCGUAUCCAUUUGCUCUCUUCUUGGAUUUCCAAGCCAGGGCAUUGUCCACAGCAGACAAGAGUGGCUUGGACUGCCAUGCCAUUCUCCUCAGAUCCCUGUCAGAGGUUCAGGAUCAAGAAUAAGCUGAUAUAAUUUCCUACUGGCCCUCUAUCCUGGAGCUUCUAGAUGGGAAACAGAUGGAUGAUAUUUCCUAGCAAAGAAAUAUAUUUAGGAGAUAGUCAUAUGGGAGUGAAAAAUUCUCUGGAUCCAGAAGUCAGCAAAUCUGACUAGUAGUCCUGGUUUUGUCAUUUAACCAAUGUUUGUCUUUGGAUGAGUCUGUUCUCUAGUCUAGGAUUUAAUUUCUUUUGCUAAGAAGAGGAAGAGAAGGAUUAGUUGGAUGCUGUCUAAAGACUUAGUUUUUAUAUCUCUUAUUUUGAUGGUUGUCAACCUUCUGUUGAGAAAGGAUAGUGGUGCUUGAAUAUGUAUCUCUCAACAGGGCUGAACACAUCCAGGAGAGCUGGUAGUAAUUCUUUAGCACUCUCUGAGAUAAAGCCUUUCUUCUCUAGUCUUAUUUUGUGGCUAAAAUAACAGAAUUAAAAGGACCACUAGACACAAAAGGGAGGUCCAGAGAGAGGAAGGAAGGUACUUGUCCAAGGUUAUGCAAAGAUUCUGUGACAGAGCUGAGCCUGGAUUCCCAGAUCAGUGCUCUCUUUGUUCUAUCUGAGGAGGACUCAGACACCAAGAAACAGGAGCCUCCAUAUAGAUAGUCCAUCCAGAGGUAGUCUGGAUUUUUGACAUGGUCCUGAGGACUUCUUUUUCUUCAAUGCUUUUUCAAAUUAUUUUUCAAAUCCCCAGAUGCCUACUUAUACUUCCGUCCCCAAGUCUAUGUCCUCCAAUUCCCUUAGUCAUAAUUGAUCUAUCCUUUGUCUCAAUAACAAUGGCUUUGUGGAGAUCUCCAGUGGAGGAUUUUGCAUUUCAGAUGAGGACAAAUGAUGAUAUUUCAGAUAGUAUAACAAACCAACAGAAGAGCUUUCAGAGUCCUUCAAUAUCAUCUCAUGUAGGUAACCAUCUCUUCUUUUAGUUUGUAUUUUUUUGGCAGUACUGGGGUUUGAACUCAGGUCUUUGCGCUUGCUAGUCAGGCACUCUACCACUUGAGCUAUACCUCCAGCCCUCCAUCUGUUCUUUUAAUCUGUCUAGUUAAUGUUUUUCAACUGAACCUGUUUUUCUUUUAUGUAUUCCAUUGCAGAAGUAUGAACUAGAACAGCAAGAGUGGAAAUGAAGCUACUUUACUUCUGGCAUACCCACUCACUGCUUCAAUACUGGGGCAACACUGUCUAUUAUGGUCUUCAAAAUCAGUGUACUAGGAAUCAGUCCUUUUCACACUUCCCUUCCAGGCUUCCUGGGAUGAAUGAAAUCAGAAAGGGCAAUUUGGGAGGCUGUGAAUAGCUUUAGAUUAUCCAGGUCUUCUUCCUGCAGUUGGUAGGUAAUGGAGACAAAAGAGGGGUACCAGUCCAUUUCUCUCUCCUCUGCCACCCACAAUUUAACUCUUUUAAUCAGCUUCUUUGGCUAGUUUUCACUGACAGCUCCAGGGGCUGAGUCAAGUUCUUGCUCCAAUAUAGGAAGUUCUGGAAAACUCAAGAAACACUUUCAACAACUCUACCAGAUAUAUAUUAAGCAAGAAGAUAAAAGAAUAAAUGAGGAAAGCUGGAGGGCACAACAAGAGCCACAUCUUCCAAGAAGAUCUCCCUGCCCCACAGGAGCCCCUGUCUGGCCUCCUGCAGUGCCACACUCCGUGUAUUUGACAAGCUGAGUUGGACACUCCAUGUGGUAGAGUGUCAGUUUGUCAAAUACCCCAAGUGCGGCACAUGCCUAGCAGCUCCAGGCCAGGGCAGAUGGGACACAGCAAAUAAACUGCUGGCUGGAUAUAAGAAUGCUUACCAAA